rnacentral:rRNA from 1 species
GUGAGGAAUAUUGGUCAAUGGGCGAGAGCCUGAACCAGCCAAGUCGCGUGAAGGAAGAAGGAUCUAUGGUUCGUAAACUUCUUUUGCAGGGGAAUAAAGUGCGGGACGUGUCCUGUUUUGUAUGUACCCUGAGAAUAAGGAUCGGCUAACUCCGUGCCAGCAGCCGCGGUAAUACGGAGGAUCCGAGCGUUAUCCGAAUUUAUUGGGUUUAAAGGGUGCGUAGGUGGUUUGAUAAGUCAGCGGUGAAAGUUUGCAGCUUAACUGUAAAAAUGCCGUUGAAACUGUCGGACUUGAGUGUAAAUGAGGUAGGCGGAAUGCGUGGUGUAGCGGUGAAAUGCAUAGAUAUCACGCAGAACUCCGAUUGCGAAGGCAGCUUACUAAGCUACAACUGACACUGAAGCACGAAAGCGUGGGGAUCAAACAGGAUUAGAUACCCGGGUAGUCC